rnacentral:rRNA from 1 species
CCCUUAGAUGUUCUGGGCUGCACGCGUGUUACAAUCGGGAGUACAACAAGAUUGCAAAUCCUAGUGGAUGAGUGGUUCUUCGAAAUUUUCUGAAGACUGGGAUGGUUGAUUGAAAUUAUUCAACUCGAACGAGGAAUUCCUUGUAAUUGUAAUUCAUUAUAUUGUAAUGAAUACGUCCCUGCCCUUUGUACACACCGCCCGUCGCUCCUACCGAUUGAACGAUCCGGUGAAUUAUUUGGAGUAGCUCUGGAAGUUGCAGAACUUCCUAUGUCACGAAAUUUUGUAAACCUUAUCGUUUAGAGGAAGGAAAAGUCGUAACA